UACGGGGGGGCAAGCGUUGUUCGGAAUUACUGGGCGUAAAGGGCUCGUAGGUGGCCAACUAAGUCACACGUGAAAUCCCUCGGCUUAACCGGGGAACUGCGUGUGAUACUGGAUGGCUUGAGUUUGGGAGAGGGAUGCGGAAUUCCAGGUGUAGCGGUGAAAUGCGUAGAUAUCUGGAGGAACACCGGUGGCGAAGGCGGCAUCCUGGACCAAUACUGACACUGAGGAGCGAAAGCCAGGGGAGCAAACG
rnacentral:rRNA from 1 species